UGUGGCUUAGCUGGUAGAGUACUUGCCUGGUGAGCAUAAGGCCCUGGGUUCAAUCCCUAGCA
rnacentral:tRNA from 1 species